GCCUGGGUGGCUCAGUCAGUUGAGCGUCCGACUUCAGCUCAGGUCAUGAUCUCGCGGUCCGUGAGUUCAAGUCCCACAUCGGGCU
rnacentral:tRNA from 1 species